rnacentral:rRNA from 1 species
UGAGCAAUGGGGUGACGCAGUAGGAUAGGGUGAGCGCGCUGUUGGUUAUGCGCGUCUAAGCAGUGAGGAGUGGAAUGAGGCAAAUCCCGUUCCUAUAACAUUGAGCUGUGACAGCAAGGGGAGUAUUCCCUGAGUCCCUGAUUUCACGCUGCCAAGAAAAGCCUCUAGCGAGGCGGGAGGUGCCUGUACCGCAAACCGACACAGGUAGGCGAGGAGAGAAUCCUAAGGUGAUCGAGAGAACUCUCGUUAAGGAACUCGGCAAAAUGACCCCGUAACUUCGGGAGAAGGGGUGCUCUGGUAGGGUGUUAAAGCCCGAGAGAGCCGCAGUGAAUAGGCCCAGGCGACUGUUUAGCAAAAACACAGGUCUCUGCAAAACCGCAAGGUGAAGUAUAGGGGCUGACGCCUGCCCGGUGCUGGAAGGUUAAGAGGAGAGGUCAGCGCAAGCGAAGCUUCGAAUUGAAGCCCCAGUAAACGGCGGCCGUAACCAUAACGGUCCUAAGGUAGCGAAAUUCCUUGUCGGGUAAGUUCCGACCCGCACGAAAGGCGUAACGAUCUGGGCACUGUCUCAACGAGAGACUCGGUGAAAUUAUAAUACCUGUGAAGAUGCAGGUUACCCGCGACAGGACGGAAAGACCCCGUGGAGCUUUACUGUAACCUGAUAUUGAAUUCCGGUGCAGCCUGUACAGGAUAGGUAGGAGCCUUGGAUUCCGGAGCGCUAGCUUCGGAUGAGGCGUUGGUGGGAUACUACCCUGGCUGUAUUGGACUUCUAACCCAUGCCCCUUAUCGGGGCAGGAGACAGUGUCAGGCGGGCAGUUUGACUGGGGCGGUCGCCUCCUAAAGAGUAACGGAGGCGCCCAAAGGUUCCCUCAGAAUGGUUGGACAUCAUUCGUAGAGUGCAAAGGCAUAAGGGAGCUUGACUGCGAGACCUACAAGUCGAGCAGGGUCGAAAGACGGGCUUAGUGAUCCGGUGGUUCCGCAUGGAAGGGCCAUCGCUCAACGGAUAAAAGCUACCCCGGGGAUAACAGGCUUAUCUCCCCCAAGAGUCCACAUCGACGGGGAGGUUUGGCACCUCGAUGUCGGCUCAUCGCAUCCUGGGGCUGUAGUCGGUCCCAAGGGUUGGGCUGUUCGCCCAUUAAAGCGGUACGCGAGCUGGGUUCAGAACGUCGUGAGACAGUUCGGUCCCUAUCCGUCGCGGGCGCAGGAAAUUUGAGAGGAGCUGUCCUUAGUACGAGAGGACCGGGAUGGACAUACCUCUGGUGUACCAGUUGUCUUGCCAAAGGCAUCGCUGGGUAGCUAUGUAUGGACGGGAUAAAUGCUGAAAGCAUCUAAGCAUGAAGCCCCCCUCGAGAUGAGAUUUCCCAUUACGCAAGUAAGUAAGAUCCCUCAAAGAAGAUGAGGUUGAUAGGUCUGGGGUGGAAGCACGGCGACGUGUGGAGCUGACGGAUACUAAUCGAUCGAGGACUUAACCG